AUUGAACGCUGGCGGCAUGCCUUACACAUGCAAGUCGAACGGUAACGCGGGGCAACCUGGCGACGAGUGGCGAACGGGUGAGUAAUGUAUCGGAACGUGCCCAGUUGUGGGGGAUAACUGCUCGAAAGAGCAGCUAAUACCGCAUACGACCUGAGGGUGAAAGCGGGGGAUCGCAAGACCUCGCACAAUUGGAGCGGCCGAUAUCAGAUUAGGUAGUUGGUGGGGUAAAGGCUCACCAAGCCGACGAUCUGUAGCUGGUCUGAGAGGACGACCAGCCACACUGGGACUGAGACACGGCCCAGACUCCUACGGGAGGCAGCAGUGGGGAAUUUUGGACAAUGGGCGCAAGCCUGAUCCAGCCAUGCCGCGUGCGGGAAGAAGGCCUUCGGGUUGUAAACCGCUUUUGUCAGGGAAGAAAAGGCUCCUGUUAAUACCGGGGGCUCAUGACGGUACCUGAAGAAUAAGCACCGGCUAACUACGUGCCAGCCGCCGCCGUAA
rnacentral:rRNA from 1 species